CCUACGGGGGGCAGUAGUGAGGAAUAUUGGUCAAUGGACGAGAGUCUGAACCAGCCAAGUAGCGUGAAGGAUGACUGCCCUAUGGGUUGUAAACUUCUUUUAUAUGGGAAUAAAAUGUUCCACGUGUGGGAUUUUGUAUGUACCAUAUGAAUAAGGAUCGGCUAACUCCGUGCCAGCAGCCGCGGUAAUACGGAGGAUCCGAGCGUUAUCCGGAUUUAUUGGGUUUAAAGGGAGCGUAGGUGGAUUGUUAAGUCAGUUGUGAAAGUUUGCGGCUCAACCGUAAAAUUGCAGUUGAAACUGGCAGUCUUGAGUACAGGAGAGGUGGGCGGAAUUCGUGGUGUAGCGGUGAAAUGCUUAGAUAUCACGAAGAACUCCGAUUGCGAAGGCAGUUCACUGGACUGCAACUGACACUGAGGCUCGAAAGUGUGGGUAUCAAACAGGAUUAGAUACCCGUGUAGUC
rnacentral:rRNA from 1 species